rnacentral:rRNA from 1 species
UACAGAGGGUGCAAGCGUUGUUCGGAAUUACUGGGCGUAAAGCGCACGUAGGCGGAUUGUUAAGUGAGGGGUGAAAUCCCAGGGCUCAACCCUGGAACUGCCUUUCAUACUGGCAAUCUCGAGUCCGAGAGAGGUGAGUGGAAUUCCGAGUGUAGAGGUGAAAUUCGUAGAUAUUCGGAGGAACACCAGUGGCGAAGGCGGCUCACUGGCUCGGUACUGACGCUGAGGUGCGAAAGCGUGGGGAGCAAACAGG